rnacentral:rRNA from 1 species
ACGGGUGAGUAACACGUGAGCAAUCUGCCCUGGACUCUGGGAUAAGCGUUGGAAACGACGUCUAAUACCGGAUACGCGACGCGAAGGCAUCUUCAGCGUCGGGAAAGAACUUCGGUCCAGGAUGAGCUCGCGGCCUAUCAGCUAGUUGGUGAGGUAACGGCCCACCAAGGCGACGACGGGUAGCCGGCCUGAGAGGGUGACCGGCCACACUGGGACUGAGACACGGCCCAGACUCCUACGGGAGGCAGCAGUGGGGAAUAUUGCACAAUGGGCGCAAGCCUGAUGCAGCAACGCCGCGUGAGGGACGACGGCCUUCGGGUUGUAAACCUCUUUUAGUAGGGAAGAAGCGAAAGUGACGGUACCUGCAGAAAAAGCACCGGCUAACUACGUGCCAGCAGCCGCGGUAAUACGUAGGGUGCAAGCGUUAUCCGGAAUUAUUGGGCGUAAAGAGCUCGUAGGCGGUUUGUCGCGUCUGCUGUGAAAACUGGAGGCUCAACCUCCAGCCUGCAGUGGGUACGGGCAAACUAGAGUGCGGUAGGGGAGAUUGGAAUUCCUGGUGUAGCGGUGGAAUGCGCAGA